GCCGGUGUAGCUCAGUUGGUAGAGCAUCUCAUUCGUAAUGAGGGGGUCGUAGGUUCAAGUACUAUCACCGGCACCA
rnacentral:tRNA from 1 species